rnacentral:rRNA from 1 species
CGGCGGAUGGGUGAGUAACACGUGGGCAACCUGCCUAUAAGACUGGGAUAACUUACGGAAACGUGAGCUAAUACCGGAUGAAACCUUUUGUCACCUGGCAAAAGGAUGAAAGGUGGCUUUUAGCUAUCACUUAUAGAUGGGCCCGCGGCGCAUUAGCUAGUUGGUGAGAUAAAAGCUCACCAAGGCAACGAUGCGUAGCCGACCUGAGAGGGUGAUCGGCCACACUGGGACUGAGACACGGCCCAGACUCCUACGGGAGGCAGCAGUAGGGAAUCUUCCGCAAUGGACGCAAGUCUGACGGAGCAACGCCGCGUGAACGAAGAAGGUUCUCGGAUCGUAAAGUUCUGUUGUUAGGGAAGAACACGUACCAUUCGAAUAGGGUGGUACCUUGACGGUACCUAACGAGAAAGCCCCGGCUAACUACGUGCCAGCAGCCGCGGUAAUACGUAGGGGGCAAGCGUUGUCCGGAAUUAUUGGGCGUA